AGUGCCUCUUUUCUUCCAUCUCCUCAACGUUCGAAGCUUGUUGUUUUUUCAUUUUUGGUAAAAUUCUAGUUACUGAUCUCAUUGUUGCUUUGGCUAAGAUCUGAUUGGUGUAUGUACCUGGUUGAGGAAGCUUUCCUCUUUUGUUCCUUGUUAUAUCCAACAAAAUAAUGCUAGGACUUGUCAGAGGCUCGUGUCCUUGCGGAAGCAGUUGUGUAAUGGAGCAUCAAAAAUUCAGGAUUAUGUACAUCAACGGACUUCACCCACUAGCUGGAGCUUAUAUUAUGCCAGAGUUAUGCACUAGCUUAAUUAAGACUGUAGUGUGUAGAUGGUUAAUAAAGCAAUAAACUAACUGGAUAAACCGGGGUGCAUGAGGGUUGGCAGGCUGUGGGUCAAGAUGGAGUUGGCGGAGGCGACUCUGAUCCUGGGAUGGGUUGGGCAGGCUUGGUUCUAUUCAACCCAGUAGCUAUAUCUGAUUGAUUAUUCUUCAGCCGGUAGAAAAUGAUGAGUACGUUACUGGAGAGCAAGUUUAAUCUGCAUAUUUGGACUAUUGUUAGUUUUUGUUACCCUUCACGAAUUUUGCUUGAUGUGAGCCGAAAUUAAUUUUUAGCAGAUAUGAUGUGGAAGUUGUUGGAUUAGAUCAUACAAUUUUUGGUAAACUUAAGGCACUACAUGAAAUUUAGGAUAUUGAGAAAUACACAUAGUCAACAAUGGACAAUGCUACAUCUAUCCGGUGGGUAGUUAACCCACUAGAAACAGAGCAUUAAAAAACUAUUAGAAUUGAUGAGUUGGAUUUCACUAUUUAUUCAUUUUUAUUAGUAGUGAGUUGUUGACCCACUGGGUAGAUAAAGUUUUUUCCGUCAACAAUUGUAUUAGGCCAAUAGGGUGUAUUGAUCAUGUCAUUAUGUGGUGAUGCAAUGAGAAGUCACAUCCUGAAUUUAACAUUA